GUGUGCGAAAGGGCAAAUGCUUUGAGGGACGGUAGCCUGUAUCCGCAACAUCUGAACAAUAGAAACCCAAUUUAAACCCCAAACACCAAAAAGAAAUCCUUCUCUUCCGCCUCUCAGCCGCGAAAAUGUGGCGGAGCAUCGACUCUCACCUUAAAGCCAUUCGCUUACCGGUCCAUUCAAUCCUUCUCUCUCAGUCAAAUUCUUGCUGCCAUCUCCCUCUUCCAAAGCCACACUCUUAUCAUUUCUUUCUCCCCAAGCCCCUAACUGUUUGCUCAAUUUCUACUUCCUUUUCUCCAAUUGUCAGUUUUACUGGCCGCCCACAUUGUGGAAGUAGUAGCACCACUAGUUUUGGGAUUUUGAGGUGUGUUUCCUCAAUCUCCUCCGCCUCUGCGCCGCAGCAGCCAACGAUAGACUGGAAUGAAUCAUUUUCAGCCUCCGAGAUUGAAAGUGGUGGAAACCGCGCUAUAGAAGAGGAUUCCAAACCUUCAAUUCCUGUUCGAGCUUAUUUCUUCUCCACUAGUGUGGAUUUGAAGAGCUUAGUGGAGCAGAACAAACCCAAUUUUAUCCCACCAACUUCCCGUAUGACUAACUAUGUCGUUCUUAAGUUUGGGAAUCUCUCUGAAACCAGUGGUUUGGGAACUUGCAUUAGUGGAAGCAACAGUUGUUUCAUGGUAGUGUUUCAAUAUGGCUCUAUUGUCUUGUUUAAUGUCCGUGAACCUGAGGUUGAUGAUUACUUGAAAAUUGUGAGAACACAUGCAUCAGGAUUGCUUCCUGAAAUGAGAAAGGAUGAAUAUGAGGUGAGAGAGAAGCCAACUUUGAACACGUGGAUGCAAGGAGGAUUGGAUUACAUAAUGUUACAGUUCUUGAAUAUUGAUGGAAUUCGCAUAAUUGGCAGUGUUCUAGGUCAAAGUAUUGCUCUUGAUUACUAUGGACGACAGGUUGAUGGGAUGGUUGCUGAAUUUACAGACAUAAAUCGUGGGAUGGAAAAAACUGGAACAUUUUCCAUGGAUAGCAAAAAACUUUUUCAACUGGUGGGGAAAGCAAAUUCUAAUCUUGCCGAUGUGAUUCUGAAGCUUGGACUUUUCGAGAGCUUUUAUUCGUUUCAACAGAUCAGAUAUUGCUUGGAAAGAUGCCAAAUAUGCUCAGAUAUGGGAAUAUCUAAGGGAUGAAUUUGAAUUAACUCAAAGAUUUGCAAGUCUUGAUUUUAAGUUGAAGUUUGUGGAGCAUAAUAUUCGCUUCCUUCAGGAAAUUCUGCAGAAUAGGAAAUCAGACUUCUUGGAAUGGCUCAUUAUCAUUCUGAUUAGUGUUGAAAUCAUCAUUUCUGUAUUUGACCUUUCCCAGAGGUCAGGAUUCAAAUUUUUCAAAUUUUUUUAACAUGGAGGGCAGUAAUCGGUCUGAUUGAAACGGCAAGAGUCACUUGAUUUCCUGUAAAUAAUCAGAUAGUACACAUGAUUUUGUUGCUAGUUAUGAUAUAGAGAGUUUAUCAAUUUUAAUAUCAUUAUUAUCGUUUUGUGA